rnacentral:rRNA from 1 species
AUGAACACAAACGCUAGCCCUGGACCAGAUGGAUUUGGCCCUAUUUUCUUUAGAAAAUAUUGGCACGAAAUCAAACACUCCAUCCUCACGUUCUUUGCUGCUUUCCAUGAUCAAACAGCUUCCCUCGAUCGAUUUAACCGAGCAUACAUGGUCCUCAUUCCAAAAACAAUAGCCCCAACCUCCCCCGAUGCAUUUAGACCAAUCUCUCUGCAAAACUGUACCCCAAAAGCGGUGGCCAAAGUUCUUACAAACAGGGUCAAACCACUCAUCCCUCUACUCAUUCACUACGACCAAACAUGA